rnacentral:rRNA from 1 species
AAUGAACGCUGGCGGAAUGCUUUACACAUGCAAGUCGAGCGGCAGCACGGGGGCAACCCUGGUGGCGAGCGGCGAACGGGUGAGUAAUACAUCGGAACAUGCCCAGUCGUGGGGGAUAACACUUCGAAAGAAGUGCUAAUACCGCAUACGUCCUGAGGGAGAAAGCGGGGGAUCGCAAGACCUCGCGCGAUUGGAGUGGCCGAUGGCAGAUUAGGUAGUUGGUGGGAUAAAAGCUUACCAAGCCGACGAUCUGUAGCUGGUCUGAGAGGACGACCAGCCACACGGGGACUGAGACACGGCCCAGACUCCUACGGGAGGCAGCAGUGGGGAAGUUUGGACAAUGGGCGCAAGCCUGAUCCAGCCAUGCCGCGUGCAGGAUGAAGGCCUUCGGGUUGUAAACUGCUUUUGUACGGAACGAAACGGCUCUUUCUAAUAAAGAGGGCUAAUGACGGUACCGUAAGAAUAAGCACCGGCUAACUACGUGCCAGCAGCCGCCGUAAGAC